rnacentral:rRNA from 1 species
UACGUAGGGUGCGAGCGUUAAUCGGAAUUACUGGGCGUAAAGCGUGCGUAGGCGGUCCGCGAAGUCUGAUGUGAAAGCCCCGGGCUCAACCUGGGAACUGCCUUCGAUACUGCGGGUCUCGAGUCCGGGAGAGGUGAGUGGAAUUCCUAGUGUAGAGGUGAAAUUCGUAGAUAUUAGGAAGAACACCAGUGGCGAAGGCGGCUCACUGGCCCGGUACUGACGCUGAGGCGGCGAAAAGCGUGGGGAGCAAACAGG